rnacentral:misc_RNA from 1 species
AGCUGUUCCCCUCUGGAGGUUACAGAUCUCCACAUUUCAUGGGCCGCGGCUUUUGCCGGCGGCCCUUUUUUUGUUCUUCG